rnacentral:lncRNA from 1 species
AAAUCAUUAAGGGUCCUUAAUUCUUUCCUUCAAGCUUACUUAAGCAUAUUGGUGUUCCUGGUUCCUUGCAGUUGCUUGGAGGCUUGGAGAAAACUUGUUCAUCAGAAAUCAAUCUCCGUUUAUUACUGGGCUAAACUUCAGAGGCACACGGUGAAGCUGUGUUUCCAGCGCUGGAAGCAAGACGUGGCACUGUUCUGUCUACAGAAGACGUUUGUCAUCCACUUAGUUGAAGAAAGGCAGCGGCAAGCAAAAGAUAAAUGGAAAGGUUCUCUUUCUUUUCCCCUUGAAACAGCAAAACCCCUGAGACCAGAUCAGGGUGCCAGGAUACUCCAGAGUGUUCAUCAGAUAUUUAAUUGGGUUUCAAAUGAAGCAAGUCAAUGCCUUUUCGGCAAUGAUGGAUCGUCACCACAGAGCUGAUGAGCUGUGUGCAGCUUUGGUACUCCAGGGGGCCUUUCAGAAGUGGAAAGAGGAGCAAUACAAACUGCAGAUGGCCAGGUAGUAGGCCUUGGACAACAAAUCUGCAUCUGCGCUAUGC